AGUCUGCUAAUGCUCGAGCCUGCACACAUACAUCAACCUGUCUGCAGUCAUGGACAAUGUUUCUCCCUCAAUGUGACUGUCGCUGAGAGCCGAAGGUGGUGGUGCUGGUCUCCUGGGUGGUGGUCUCCCCCUUUGUGUGCUUGCUCCCCCUGGUUUGAUUUACUUCACAACGUAUGUGUGAGAGUGAUCUUCACGUGUGACAGGGGGGAAGUUGUAUUUAGGUUUUUGGGAUCCCUCCUCCCUCGUCGACCCAUCCCCCCCAUUGGUAAGCCUCAGCUCCUGAUUAGGACCCCCUCUGCCCACGUCCCUGUGUGACCGGAUUUUGCUGCCCUUUAAGACAUGCUAUUUUUGUAAUAAAAAUAAUUAUAUUUUGUUAAAAAGAA